AUUGAACGCUGGCGGCAUGCUUUACACAUGCAAGUCGAACGGUAACAGGUCUUCGGAUGCUGACGAGUGGCGAACGGGUGAGUAAUGUAUCGGAACGUGCCCAGUAGUGGGGGAUAACUACUCGAAAGAGUGGCUAAUACCGCAUGAGAACUGAGGUUGAAAGCGGGGGACCUUCGGGCCUCGCGCUACUGGAGCGGCCGAUAUCAGAUUAGGUAGUUGGUGGGUAAAGGCCUACCAAGCCGACGAUCUGUAGCUGGUCUGAGAGGACGACCAGCCACACUGGGACUGAGACACGGCCCAGACUCCUACGGGAGGCAGCAGUGGGGAAUUUUGGACAAUGGACGCAAGUCUGAUCCAGCAAUGCCGCGUGCAGGACGAAGGCCUUCGGGUUGUAAACUGCUUUUGUACAGAACGAAAAGGCUCUAGGUUAAUACCUGGGGCUCGAAUGACGGUACUGUAAGAAUAAGCACCGGCUAACUACGUGCCAGCAGCCGCGGU
rnacentral:rRNA from 1 species